ACCAAGAUCUCGAGUGCACAAUGUCAUCAGCGUAAUGAAGAGUAAACAUUUAUGCUAAUAAUCUGCAAUUUUUUUCAUCAGCUAUAAAGACAGAGGCUAUAUAGCCGAAAAUUUCAGUUCUAUUCUGCAAGCUCAGAGAUGCAAAAAGCCUACGGCGCUCGGAGGCGCCUGGUCCUGGGGACCUCUUUCCUCCGCACUUACUCUCAGGACAGGAAGAUGGGGCCAGGGGAUUCUUUUUGGUUUUCUGGUUUUGUUUUACUCUGGUUUUGGUCGGUUUUUGCAUUUUCCUAUUUUCCUUUUUUUUUUUUCUUUCUUUCUUUUUUUUUUUUUUGUCUUUUCUUUCCUGUCAUUCUCCCAGCCAAAAGCUGCCUUCGACCCUUUUGAUUUGAUGUAGCCAAGAGUGUGUGUCCAGAUUAUCUGAAAUUGACACUGAAGAAGCUACACAGGUGGUCAAGCAGGGCCCCCGGAAGAAAGGAAAAGGCGUUCCAGGAUGCGGUGAUGGGCUGCCGGCAGACCGGUGUGGCUCAGACCUGGUGACUUUUUGGAGAGGCCGCAGAAUGAGGACAGCAGACACGAGGACCUUGACUCAGCGCACAGACAGUGCAAAAAGGAGACAAAGACAGACAGAACCGAAAAAAGAGCAUUUUCCCCCUCCUACAUAUUUUUUUCCUGAUAGUCUCACAAGGCUGAGAGUCUGGUCGGGUCCAGCAGGUUGUCUUGUUGCUCGUUCUCCAGUGGCCAUGCCUGCUUCGAGGCCACUCUGCUGCCACCGCAUGACCCAAAUCAGGUUCAGGCCGAGAGCUGGAAACUCGCUCGGCCACCAGACCUUUAGGGGCUCCCAGGAGGCGGCAAACCCUCGUCACCUUUCCUUUUUUCUUUCCUUUUUUCCCUUCCUCACCUCGGGGGUCCUUCUCCUCCCAGCCCAGGGUACUUGAAAGGGUGGACGGACCCGGAAGCGGGAAGGGCCGGGCCAAGGGAGACUGGAAGGAGGCGUGUGGGUGCGAACUGAUAACCUCACAUGAGUUGAGGCUGCUGCAUAGCUUCUUGGUGCGCUGAAGGAUACCAUGAUGUGUAGCUGGGGACAUAGGAGCCUGCACUGCUGCCGGAGCUCUUUCCAGAGGAGGAGUUCGGAUUCCAGCCGGGUGGCACUGGUGGGGAGCCGGCAGACAGGGCUCGGCCAUUCGCCAGGGAGCUGCCCUCCAGAGCUGCCCCGCCUUGCUUCAUCAACUUCUUGAACUUGGAGCGUUUGUUCUGGAACCAUAUCUUGACCUGCAAGAUCGGGCGACAACGUGACUGGACUAUGACCACUGGGUCUACCAAGGCCUGGGGAGGAGGGAAGGGACUGGUGGAGGAGAAUACCUGCCCUCCUGCCUAGAGGGGUAGAGACCACUGCCACCCCCCUAACCCCCGCGAGAGCCAAAGGCUAGAAAACUGAGCCCCCAAGUCCACCAUUGCUGAUAGCCCUUAGUUCAGUUCUCAAAUAGGGGGUGGGGUGGGGUAAGAGAAGGGGAGACCCGGGCCUUGGCUUGCAAGUUGGUCAGUGCCACUGGGGCUGCUGUUUACGGAAGACCCCUUGCAUGCAAAACAAUGCAAUAUCAAUAAAAAAAUUAAAACCGAGAUAGGAAUGUAGGGCAUCUAUUUACAAUUAGGCCACCUUGCUUUUUCACUCAACUUUCUGCCUUUGGAUGAGUUUAAGAACUGAUGGAGGAAGCCACAGCGGGUUUGUUAAACUUUUCUUAGGACUCAAUCCAACUCCCCCCCCCCCUUAGGUGUGUUUGUUUUCUCCAGCUCCAAUCCAAAUCUAGAGACAGACUUUGGAAACCAAUGUCAGCUCCGGUUUGAAUGUCUAUGAGCUGACCACAGUCUUAGAGAAAUGCAGGAAGAAAAAAAAUCUCAAGUGCAUAUUUUUUUUCUUCUCUCUCUCUCUCCAGGAUCUGGGACUUGGAAAGAGCAGAGGGAAGGAUCCCUCUUCUGCCACCUCGUGAGAUUUAGGGAGGGAGAUUUAGGUUUAGGCUCAGGAUCCAAGCGAUUAGCCACACACUUUAAAGGCAAAGGAGGAUUAAAUCCCCUUUCUAUUGUUCCAGUUGUUCAGGCACGUGUGACCUCAGAAUCUCCAAACAAAACGUGUGGAGAAAUCCUUCCUGCUCCCUGAUCAGAAGUCCAGUGACCGAAGAGCAGGCGGCCUGCAGGUCAGAGUAGGGUCCGAGCUAGGGCAGACAGCAUGUGGGAGGAAGAGGAGACUCUGGAAGUCAGAGGUAGACACACACACACACACACACACACACACACACACACACACACAUUCAAGCACACACGCGCGCGCACACACACACUCAGUGACACCACGAGUCAGAGGCCCAGUGAACAAGAAAUUCGAAGCCUGGGGCUCAAGCCCAGCUUGGGGAGCCUGUUUGGCAGAGAGGCAGCGACCAGGUACCUGAGUCUGUGUGAGUCCCAAGGAGGCUGCGAGCUCCGCCCUCUCAGGGAGAGCUAGGUACUGAGUUUGCUGGAAUCUCCGAUUCAAAGCCUGCAACUGCAAACUGGAAUAAAUGGUCCUGGGUUUACGGAUCUUUUUCCCUUUGCCAUUAAAGCGCACUUCACCGCCUUCCACCACGGUGCUCUUCUCGGAGUCCGCCCCUGGAGGGACGACAGAAGCAGAUACCCAUGUUAAUUCUGGACUGCCUUUAAUGUGGAGGGACGAGAGUGAGUGUCUAUGGAUGGGCUGGUAGAGGCAGGGUCCGCCAAAGAAUGUUCAAGAAACCCUGAAAGACUGAAAAGGCUUCCUCAAGGUCCGAGCGCAGGUCCCUGGCUGCGGCAGAUAGAAUUGGGCCGAUCCCAAGAGAGCAGCUAUUGCCUUUGCAGGGAAAGUUUGCUAUUUUUGCAGGCGGUAGUUGAGGUUUAAUUACCCUUAAUUGCAUACAUUGUUUAUAGCGCUACGCAAUAAAUAAUUACCGAGACUAA